UGAACGCUGGCGGCGUGCCUAAUACAUGCAAGUCGAGCGAACGGACGAGAAGCUUGCUUCUCUGAUGUUAGCGGCGGACGGGUGAGUAACACGUGGAUAACCUACCUAUAAGACUGGGAUAACUUCGGGAAACCGGAGCUAAUACCGGAUAAUAUUUUGAACCGCAUGGUUCAAAAGUGAAAGACGGUCUUGCUGUCACUUAUAGAUGGAUCCGCGCUGCAUUAGCUAGUUGGUAAGGUAACGGCUUACCAAGGCAACGAUGCAUAGCCGACCUGAGAGGGUGAUCGGCCACACUGGAACUGAGACACGGUCCAGACUCCUACGGGAGGCAGCAGUAGGGAAUCUUCCGCAAUGGGCGAAAGCCUGACGGAGCAACGCCGCGUGUGUGAUGAAGGUCUUCGGAUCGUAAAACUCUGUUAUUAGGGAAGAACAUAUGUGUAAGUAACUGUGCACAUCUUGACGGUACCUAAUCAGAAAGCCACGGCUAACUACGUG
rnacentral:rRNA from 1 species